GGGUUGUGAGGUUAAGCGACUAAGCGUACACGGUGGAUGCCCUGGCAGUCAGAGGCGAUGAAGGACGUGCUAAUCUGCGAAAAGCGUCGGUAAGGUGAUAUGAACCGUUAUAACCGGCGAUGUCCGAAUGGGGAAACCCAGUGCAAUUCGUUGCACUAUCGUUAACUGAAUACAUAGGUUAACGAGGCGAACCGGGGGAACUGAAACAUCUAAGUACCCCGAGGAAAAGAAAUCAACCGAGAUUCCCCCAGUAGCGGCGAGCGAACGGGGAGCAGCCCAGAGUCUGAAUCAGCUUGUGUGUUAGUGGAACGGUCUGGAAAGUCCGACGGUACAGGGUGAUAGUCCCGUACACCAAAAUGCACAGGCUGUGAACUCGAAGAGUAGGGCGGGACACGUGGUAUCCUGUCUGAAUAUGGGGGGACCAUCCUCCAAGGCUAAAUACUCCUGACUGACCGAUAGUGAACCAGUACCGUGAGGGAAAGGCGAAAAGAACCCCGGCGAGGGGAGUGAAAAAGAACCUGAAACCGUGUACGUACAAGCAGUGGGAGCACCUUCGGGUGUGACUGCGUACCUUUUGUAUAAUGGGUCAGCGACUUAUAUUCUGUAGCAAGGUUAACCGUAUAGGGGAGCCGCAGGGAAACCGAGUCUUAACUGGGCGUUAAGUUGCAGGGUAUAGACCCGAAACCCGGUGAUCUAGCCAUGGGCAGGUUGAAGGUUGGGUAACACUAACUGGAGGACCGAACCGACUAAUGUUGAAAAAUUAGCGGAUGACUUGUGGCUGGGGGUGAAAGGCCAAUCAAACCGGGAGAUAGCUGGUUCUCCCCGAAAGCUAUUUAGGUAGCGCCUCGUGAAUUCAUCUUCGGGGGUAGAGCACUGUUUCGGCUAGGGGGUCAUCCCGACUUACCAACCCGAUGCAAACUACGAAUACCGAAGAAUGUUAUCACGGGAGACACACGGCGGGUGCUAACGUCCGUCGUGAAGAGGGAAACAACCCAGACCGCCAGCUAAGGUCCCAAAGUCAUGGUUAAGUGGGAAACGAUGUGGGAAGGCACAGACAGCCAGGAUGUUGGCUUAGAAGCAGCCAUCAUUUAAAGAAAGCGUAAUAGCUCACUGGUCGAGUCGGCCUGCGCGGAAGAUGUAACGGGGCUAAACCAUGCACCGAAGCUGCGGCAGCGACACUAUGUGUUGUUGGGUAGGGGAGCGUUCUGUAAGCCUGCGAAGGUGUGCUGUGAGGCAUGCUGGAGGUAUCAGAAGUGCGAAUGCUGACAUAAGUAACGAUAAAGCGGGUGAAAAGCCCGCUCGCCGGAAGACCAAGGGUUCCUGUCCAACGUUAAUCGGGGCAGGGUGAGUCGACCCCUAAGGCGAGGCCGAAAGGCGUAGUCGAUGGGAAACAGGUUAAUAUUCCUGUACUUGGUGUUACUGCGAAGGGGGGACGGAGAAGGCUAUGUUAGCCGGGCGACGGUUGUCCCGGUUUAAGCAUGUAGGCUGAUUAUCCAGGCAAAUCCGGAUAAUCAAGGCUGAGGUGUGAUGACGAGGCACUACGGUGCUGAAGUAACAAAUGCCCUGCUUCCAGGAAAAGCCUCUAAGCAUCAGGUAACAUCAAAUCGUACCCCAAACCGACACAGGUGGUCAGGUAGAGAAUACCAAGGCGCUUGAGAGAACUCGGGUGAAGGAACUAGGCAAAAUGGUGCCGUAACUUCGGGAGAAGGCACGCUGGUGUGUAGGUGAAGUCCCUGCGGAUGGAGCUGAGACCAGUCGAAGAUACCAGCUGGCUGCAACUGUUUAUUAAAAACACAGCACUGUGCAAACACGAAAGUGGACGUAUACGGUGUGACGCCUGCCCGGUGCCGGAAGGUUAAUUGAUGGGGUUAUCCGUAAGGAGAAGCUCUUGAUCGAAGCCCCGGUAAACGGCGGCCGUAACUAUAACGGUCCUAAGGUAGCGAAAUUCCUUGUCGGGUAAGUUCCGACCUGCACGAAUGGCGUAAUGAUGGCCAGGCUGUCUCCACCCGAGACUCAGUGAAAUUGAACUCGCUGUGAAGAUGCAGUGUACCCGCGGCAAGACGGAAAGACCCCGUGAACCUUUACUAUAGCUUGACACUGAACAUUGAGCCUUGAUGUGUAGGAUAGGUGGGAGGCUUUGAAGCGUGGACGCCAGUCUGCGUGGAGCCAACCUUGAAAUACCACCCUUUAAUGUUUGAUGUUCUAACGUUGGCCCCUUACCGGGGUUGCGGACAGUGUCUGGUGGGUAGUUUGACUGGGGCGGUCUCCUCCCAAAGCGUAACGGAGGAGCACGAAGGUUAGCUAAUCCUGGUCGGACAUCAGGAGGUUAGUGCAAUGGCAUAAGCUAGCUUGACUGCGAGCGUGACGGCGCGAGCAGGUGCGAAAGCAGGUCAUAGUGAUCCGGUGGUUCUGAAUGGAAGGGCCAUCGCUCAACGGAUAAAAGGUACUCCGGGGAUAACAGGCUGAUACCGCCCAAGAGUUCAUAUCGACGGCGGUGUUUGGCACCUCGAUGUCGGCUCAUCACAUCCUGGGGCUGAAGUAGGUCCCAAGGGUAUGGCUGUUCGCCAUUUAAAGUGGUACGCGAGCUGGGUUUAGAACGUCGUGAGACAGUUCGGUCCCUAUCUGCCGUGGGCGCUGGAGAAUUGAGGGGGGCUGCUCCUAGUACGAGAGGACCGGAGUGGACGCAUCACUGGUGUUCGGGUUGUCAUGCCAAUGGCACUGCCCGGUAGCUAAAUGCGGAAGAGAUAAGUGCUGAAAGCAUCUAAGCACGAAACUUGCCCCGAGAUGAGUUCUCCCUGAGACUUUAAGUCUCCUGAAGGAACGUUGAAGACGACGACGUUGAUAGGCCGGGUGUGUAAGCGCAGCGAUGCGUUGAGCUAACCGGUACUAAUGAACCGUGAGGCUUAACCUUACAACGCCGAAG
rnacentral:rRNA from 1 species